AACGAACGCUGGCGCCAUGCCUAACACAUGCAAGUCGAACGAGACCUUCGGGUCUAGUGGCGAACGGGUGCGUAACGCGUGGGAACCUGCCCUUAGGUUCGGAAUAACUCCCCGAAAGGGGUGCUAAUACCGGAUAAUUUCUUCGGACCAAAGAUUUAUCGCCUUUGGAUGGGCCCGCGUUGGAUUAGCUAGUUGGUAGGGUAAAAGCCUACCAAGGCGACGAUCCAUAGCUGGUCUGAGAGGAUGAUCAGCCACACUGGGACUGAGACACGGCCCAGACUCCUACGGGAGGCAGCAGUGGGGAAUAUUGGACAAUGGGCGAAAGCCUGAUCCAGCAAUGCCGCGUGAGUGAUGAAGGCCUUAGGGUUGUAAAGCUCUUUUACCCGGGAUGAUAAUGACAGUACCGGGAGAAUAAGCUCCGGCUAACUCCGUG
rnacentral:rRNA from 1 species